rnacentral:rRNA from 1 species
AGAAUCAACGCUGGCGGCGUGCCUAACACAUGCAAGUCGAUCGAGAAAGUGGAGCAAUCCAUGAGUAAAGAGGCGCACGGGUGAGUAACACGUGACUAACCUACCUUCGAGUGGGAAUAAACCUGGGGAAACCCGGGCUAAUACCGCAUAAUACCUACGGGUCAAAGGAGCAAUUCGCUUGAAGAGGGGGUCGCGGCAGAUUAGUUAGUUGGCGGGUAAUGGCCCACCAAGACGAUGAUCUGUA